rnacentral:rRNA from 1 species
ACAUGCAAGUCGAACGAAGUAGCAAUACUUAGUGGCAGACGGGUGAGUAACAUGUGGGUAUCUACCCUUUGGCCUGGAAUAACACGAGGAAACUUGUGCUAAUACCGGAUAAGUCUUUACGGAGAAAGCUUUAUGCACCAUUGGAUGAGCCCGCACUUGAUUAGUUUGUUGGUAGGGUAAUGGCCUACCAAGACUAUGAUCAAUAGCUGAUUUGAGAGGAUGAUCAGCCACAUUGGGACUGAGACACGGCCCAAACUCCUACGGGAGGCAGCAGUGGGGAAUCUUGCACAAUGGAGGAAACUCUGAUGCAGCGAUGCCGCGUGAGUGAAGAAGGCCUUUGGGUUGUAAAGCUCUUUCGUCGGGGAAGAAAAUGACUGUACCCGAAUAAGAAGGUCCGGCUAACUUCGUGCCAGCAGCCGCGGUAAUACGAAGGGACCUAGCGUAGUUCGGAAUUACUGGGCUUAAAGAGUUCGUAGGUGGUUGAAAAAGUUGGUGGUGAAAUCCCAGAGCUUAACUCUGGAACUGCCAUCAAAACUUUUCAGCUAGAGUAUGAUAGAGGAAAGCAGAAUUUCUAGUGUAGAGGUGAAAUUCGUAGAUAUUAGAAAGAAUACCAAUUGCGAAGGCAGCUUUCUGGAUCAUUACUGACACUGAGGAACGAAAGCAUGGGUAGCGAAGAGGAUUAGAUACCCUCGUAGUCCAUGCCGUAAACGAUGUGUGUUAGACGUUGGAAAUUUAUUUUCAGUGUCGCAGGGAAACCGAUAAACACACCGCCUGGGGAGUACGACCGCAAGGUUAAAACUCAAAUGAAUUGACGGGGACCCGCACAAGUAGUGGAGCAUGUGGUUUAAUUCGAAGAUACGCGCAGAACCUUACCAACACUUGACAUGUUCGUCGCGACUCUAAGAGAUUAG